UGAGCAAUCUGCCCUUCUCAUCGGAAUAAGCGUUGGAAACGACGUCUAAUGCCGAAUACGACCUCCUUUCGCAUGAUCGGAGGUGGAAAGCUCCGGCGGAGAAGGAUGAGCUCGCGGCCUAUCAGCUAGUUGGUGUGGGUAACGCCCACCAAGGCGACGACGGGUAGCCGGCCUGAGAGGGUGACCGGCCACACUGGGACUGAGACACGGCCCAGACCUCCGUACGGGAGGNAGCG
rnacentral:rRNA from 1 species